GAUGAACGCUGGCGGCGUGCCUAAUACAUGCAAGUCGAGCGAACAGACGAGGAGCUUGCUCCUCUGACGUUAGCGGCGGACGGGUGAGUAACACGUGGAUAACCUACCUAUAAGACUGGGAUAACUUCGGGAAACCGGAGCUAAUACCGGAUAAUAUAUUGAACCGCAUGGUUCAAUAGUGAAAGACGGUUUUGCUGUCACUUAUAGAUGGAUCCGCGCCGCAUUAGCUAGUUGGUAAGGUAACGGCUUACCAAGGCAACGAUGCGUAGCCGACCUGAGAGGGUGAUCGGCCACACUGGAACUGAGACACGGUCCAGACUCCUACGGGAGGCAGCAGUAGGGAAUCUUCCGCAAUGGGCGAAAGCCUGACGGAGCAACGCCGCGUGAGUGAUGAAGGUCUUCGGAUCGUAAAACUCUGUUAUUAGGGAAGAACAAAUGUGUAAGUAACUAUGCACGUAUUGACGGUACCUAAUCAGAAAGACACGGCUAACUACGUG
rnacentral:rRNA from 1 species